GACGGAGGGUGCUAGCGUUGUUCGGAAUUACUGGGCGUAAAGGGCGCGUAGGCGGCCUUGGCAGUCGGGUGUGAAAGCCCGGGGCUCAACCCCGGAACGGCAUCCGAUACUCCAAGGCUCGAGACCGGGAGAGGUGGGUGGAAUACCCAGUGUAGAGGUGAAAUUCGUAGAUAUUGGGUGGAACACCGGUGGCGAAAGCGGCUCACUGGCCCGGUUCUGACGCUGAGGCGCGAAAGCGUGGGGAGCAAACAGG
rnacentral:misc_RNA from 1 species